rnacentral:rRNA from 1 species
CGUAGGGUCCGAGCGUUGUCCGGAAUUAUUGGGGCGUAAAAGGGCUUGUAGGCGGUUUGUCGCGUCGGAAGUGAAAACUCAGGGCUCAACCCUGAGCCUGCUUCCGAUACGGGCAAACUAGAGGGAUGCAGGGGGAGAAUGGAAUUCCUGGUGGAGCGGUGGAAUGCGCAGAUAUCAGGAGGAACACCAGUGGCGAAGGCGGUUCUCUGGGCAUUACCUGACGCUGAGAAGCGAAAGCGUGGGGAGCAAACAGGCUU